ensembl:lncRNA
GUCAUGAUAAAAUAAAAUUGUGUACGUUUUCUGUAGAUUAUGCCUGUCCAUUCCAUAACCCCCCUGCCACCAUGGGGCACUUCUGUUCACAACGUUUACGUCAGCAAACCGAUCGCCUACACGAUGCCAUACACACUGAUACCUGCUCCAUGCAGUUGAAAACGGGUUUCAUCCGUGAAGAGCACACUUCUCCAGCGUGCCAGUGACCAUCGAAGGUGAGCAUUUCCCCACUGAAGUCGGUUACGACUCCGAACUGGUCAGGUGAAGACCCUGGUGAGGACAAAGCGCACACAGAUGAGCUUCCCUGAGAUGGUUUCUGGCAGUUUACAAAAAUCCUGGACAAUCCUGGAUGUGAAGGUCCUGGGCUGGCAUGGUUAUACAUGGUCUGAAGUUGUGAGGCUGGUUGGAUUUACUGCCAAAUUCUCUGAACAACGUUGGCUUAUAGUACAGAAAUUAACAUUAUAUUCUCUUGCAACAGCUCUGUUGGACUCUGCAGUCAGCAUGACAAUUGACCUGAGCCCUAGGACCUCCUUGCUGUCCCCAGUCCACCUGGCCAUGCUGCUGUUCCAGUUUCAAUUGACCUGAGCCCUAGGACCAUGCCCCAGGACUACCUGACAUGAUGACUCCUUGCUGUCCCCAGUCCACCUGGCCAUGCUGCUGCUCCAGUUUCAACUUCCACCUGACUGUGCUGCUGCUCCAGUUUCAACUGUUCUGCCUUAUUAUUAUUCGACCAUGCUGGUCAUUUAUGAACAUUUGAACAUCUUGGCCAUGUUCUGUUAUAAUCUCCACCCGGCACAGCCAGAAGAGGACUGGCCACCCCACAUAGCCUGGUUCCUCUCUAGGUUUCUUCCUAGGUUUUGGCCUUUCUAGGGUGUUUUUCCUAGCCACCGUGCUUCUACACCUGCAUUGCUUGCUGUUUGGGGUUUUAGGCUGGGUUUCUGUACAGCACUUUGAGAUAUCAGCUGAUGUACGAAGGGCUAUAUAAAUAAAUUUGAUUUGAUUUGAUUUGAUAAGGACAAGCUCCUUGUCCUACAUUCUUCCCUACAAUUACCAAAUCAAAUCAGAGAGGGUUAGAAGAGUGGGUCUGAAGUCAUUGGAAUGGCAUCCAGUCUCUUUUAAGAUAAUCAUAGGUUACAAUUUAUUUGACCUUAACCCUUAUUUGGAAGGUGCUUUCAGGACAGAAAUACACACACCUAAUCGGCAGCCAUUGUGAGGUGCCACCCAUCUCUCCUCUUGCCCUGAUCAGGUACCAGCUUGGCAUAUGGAAGGUCAAUGUUAGAACACACCUGCAUGUUUUACUGGAACAAGCAGCAACAAAACGUUGUUUAACGUUCUGAUAACAGACAGGGUUCAUUAACCUCAACUGAAGUGCCCCAGGCUGGUCUACCAAAUGCCACCUCAUAGCAGCUGGGAGAGAAAAGGCUUUAUAGGAAAUCUAUUAAUAUUUUAUUGGUUUGAUUGUUGUAUACUGACAUUGUUCAAGACACAGACAGGUGCCAAACCAAUGGCACAUCAGCCAUUGGUUUGUUAUGCAGCCCUGUCUGAGCCUUACUGUAUGGCACGUGUCAAAGCGUGCCUGAGGGUUUUUCGCUCUGCCCUUGUACUUGAUUGGUGAAUUAAGGUCACUAAUUAGUAAGGAAGUCCCCUCAUCUGGUUGUCUAGGUCUUAACUGAAAGGAAAAACCAAAAACCUACAGACACUUGGCUCUCUCUGUCUCUCUCUCUCUUUCUUUCUUUCUUUCUUUCUUUCUUUCUUUCUUUCUUUCUUUCUUUCUUUCUUUCUUUCUUUCUUUCUUUCUUUCUUUCUUUCUUUCUUUCUUUGUUUUCUCUCUCCCUUUCUCUCCAUUUCUCACUGUCUCCACUCAGAAUGAAGAGUGGAGUGACGUCUGUGUAUUGCUAGAAGCUUGCUAGAAAUGGAUGGUCGUACAAGGCUAGUCCUUAUCAGUCCUUACCAGUAAAUUCUGAAAUUUGAACAGAAAACCAGUUAGAUCGAUAGGCGUACAAAGUUAUAAAAGCUGAUUUGUAGCCCCUAGAAAUCUUUUUGGUGUCGGAUGAAAUUUAUAUUUAGCAUUUAAGAUACUUGGCAUUCAAUAUCCUUGCAACAUCACUUAACCUCACUAGGGUAUGUGGGACUAGCGUCCCACCUGGCCAACAUCCAGUGAAAUUGCAGAUUGCCAAAAAACAUAAAUACUCAUUAUAAAAUUUCAUAAAACAUACAAGUUUUAUACAUGGGUUUAAAGAUGAACUUCUUGUUAAUCAAUCCAACCACGGUGUCAGAUUUCAAAAAGGCUUUACGGCGAAAGCAUACCAUGCGAUUAUCUGAGAAUAGCGCCCUGCAGACAAAUCAUUACAAACAGUAACCAGCCAAGUAGAGAAGUUACACAAGUCAGAAAUAGUGAUAAAAUUAAUCACUUACCUUUGAUGAUCUUCAUAUGGUUGCACUCACAAGACUCCAAUUUACUCAAUAAAUGUUUGUUUUGUUCGAUAAAGUCA